GGAGGAUAUUAGAUUUUCUUAGUGCUCUGUAUGUCAUCCAGCAACUCGGCAACAGGACGUUGCCGAGAGCGAGACCUGAGCCAUGGAUGGCGAAUGUCAAGCGGUUGCGUCAAAUUAUCAUAGCUUAAAUCAGAGCAUUUAGAAAAUCUUAUAUCAGUA
rnacentral:ncRNA from 1 species